GCACCUGCAAAAUCAGGUGCCGGGAUUCGAAACCCCGGAUAACUAAACAGGCGCAUAACACGCCUACAGCGUGUUUUUU
rnacentral:sRNA from 1 species